GUAGGCAGAAGCUCAUUGUAGAUGUCACAUGCAGAGUGCUAGUCACUAAUCACAUUGGGGAAGAUCUGAGGUUGGAGCCAAUCACUGCCCUAGCAGGGCAUCACCUGAUCAGGGAGUUAUCGGAACUUCCUAAUUCCGACUGGGAAGUUUCACUUGAAUGACCCUCCAAGACGGAAUUACAAGUGGGAAAUGUUGUUGACGUAACAGAUGUAUAAUCGUACUCUCCGUGC
rnacentral:RNase_P_RNA from 2 species